AUCACAUUAUAAUUCGAACCUGUGGAUUUUCCCCUUUGUGGAACAAUCUAGGUCGUUUCAGUUGGUAUCAGAGCCAUACUUGACCCUAGGACGAGACCGUUAGUACCAAACACUAGUUUAGAAGCCAAACGUUCUAUCUUUUGUAGGGUUAUAGAUGCUAACACGUGUUUUCCCCCUCCGCCUUGAAUACUGCUGCUAACUGACCUCCCUGUUUCAUAAAUUUGACUGUUACAAUCUUUUCCCAUACCUGCCCACGCUAGAUGGGUAGUCGUGUGAGACUUUGAAGGUCUGUGAGUCGCCUCAAGUCAACACUAUGCAUUAGGAGUUGUAAUGCUAUUUGAGUGCUUGGAUCUUAUGUUGUUGCAUUUAUUCUGCUUCUUGUUGUCUGAGUGUAAGUCAUAGAACCUGUUUUAUGCGAGAAAGACUCUGGAUCCCGUCCAACCUAGCCGGCUAAUCCUAAGACUGUCCCGAGACUAGAUAGGUGACCGUGGCUAGCAGAGCUGAAAAAGGGUGUAAAGCUGAUGCAUCAUGUCUUAGCCAACCAUUUCAAAACUAUUUUUGGCUUCCAACAAAACCUGUCUUCAAAAGUUUCCCUCCUUUUGAUUGAAAAAGUCAUCUCUUUAGCUAAAGCAUCUCUAUUGCAAAGGAAAAAGUAUUCCAAAACUCUCUCAAUAUCUUUCCUUUUCACAAAGAAAGCAAUUUUAACCCCUUUCUCAACUCAAUUUUAUUCAAACUCUAUUUAUGAAAUGAUUUAAAAAUAAGUUAUCUUUCAAAAGGUGUUACCAACCAUCUUCUAAAAAACAAAAGUCUUGCUUUUUCAUCAACAAAGUGGUUUUUGAAUCAAAGAUCUUUGGCUCAAUUUUGUAUUAAAGGCCUUUGAUUUCAUCUCGAGAGCCAAAUUCCUUUAAAAAAUUAACCUUAUCUUAAAAAAAAUCCAAACUGAUUUAUUAACUAAAAGAAAUUGUUGCGAAAAGAUUUUGUUGCAACCUUUCAAAGAAAAAUUUCAGCAAAAACUGAAAGAACUUACAAGUUUCAAAAAAAAUGUUGAAAAGCAAGAUUUGGUUGUGAAAGCUUUAUCUUUCAAAAUGAGAAAUGAUUUCUUGUCAUUUUCAAAACUAGUUUGUUUGACUCAAACAAAAAAAAGAGAGCAAUACCUUGUUUAAAAAGAAUAAUAAAAUAAAUGAGUUUCAAACCUCCUGAUUUGAAGUCACUCAAAAAAAGUAUAUAAAAAAAAAUCAAUCAAGAGAAUUGGUUUUCAAAACCUGCAUCGAUUUCAACCCUCUUCAAAAGCUCUCUUCAGUUUGAGGUCUCUUUUAAAAAAAAGGCUGGUGAAAGGCAAUAACCCUAGCUAACUUGAGCCCGCCAUACCUUUUGUUGAUCAGACGCCAGUCCUUGGAAGAGUAUCAAGCAAGUGGACGAUAAGGUUGAACACGAUGAUCUAGGCCAACUAAAAAUAGUCUUAACUUUGAGAGCCAGAUGUUCAUAAACCCGGUGCGAUUCGUGGAUACCCCAUUGCCUCGGUGUAAGAAUUUGGAUACCCAACACCAGCGAGUGAGCCUUGGAUACAUCCUGAACAUGACUCGCCCCCACAUGGAAAAGGUUUGUGGAGCCAUCUUUCUGAUAGUGAAACAGCUCAGAAGUAAGAAGAACUUUGGAAACAGUAACCCCACCUCUUCACCGACCGAGCGACGCCUAAAUCUCGGGGACGAGAUUCCUAUAAGGUGGGUGGACUGUAACAUCCCGGAUUUUUAUGGAAACCAAAAAUACGAGCUUUUUAAAAUUUUUCCUGUAAUCGUGUGAAUCAUAUAGUUUUUAGGUCUAACUCGAUCCUAUCCCGUUAACAAAUCGUGGCAUACAUGUAGAUUUGCUUGUAGGUGAGUGCUCUUGUUCGCGAGUCAUCUUAAGUUGGGUUUUGCUUAGGGUUUUAAGUUCCUUUUGGAGUGCACAAAUCCAUAGCAAAGUCUUUCUGAAUCUCUGUUGAGCCUAUCUCAAAGGCGAAGCGAAUCCCUUCUCAACCUUUUCGUUGGAGUACGUCUCAAACUCCUUUUGAUCCUUUUUGAACUCCUCCCGAAAUUCCCUUCUCAAACCUUUUCUCUUGUUGAUCUCAUCGCAAAUCUCUACCGGUGAAUCUAUCUUGAAUUCGUAGCAACUCCUUUCCAAUCCUUCGUGAUCUCUCUCACCUCCUUGGCACCUCUCAUGAAUCCCUUUAAAUCUCUUCUUGAAUCUCUCUUAUAUAUUCCUCCGAAUUCAUUUCCGUAUCUAAUUGAAUCUCCGUCAAAUCACUUUGAUUCCCUCUCUGUUUCAGUAAAUCAAAAAUGAGGAAAACCAUUUGGCCCAAUCGCCCCAGCUCCUUUCUCCCAGCCCAGCUCGUGCUGGCGCUCCCUCGGCCCAGCACCCUUGCGUGGCCCACCUCCCGCAUCCGGCCCAGCCUGCUCUCCACCCCUCCCUGACUCGGCCUGUUCGCACCCCCCCCUCCUCCACCGGGGCCUUGGCCCAAGCCACCCAGCGGCCCAGCUCCAAGCCGUGUGUGUUUCCGCUAGAAAAAUGAUGUAAUAGGCUUGUUGACCAAGAGUUGUAAAGUAAAUGUGUUGUAAUUUUGUUUUUCUACAAUGUAUGACUAUGAUAACAGCUGAUAUAUGAUAAUGUGAUGGCUCAAUUUCUGAAUUAUCACAUUAUAAUUCGAACCUGUGGAUUUUCCCCUUUGUGGAAAAAUCUAGGUCGUUUCACGGUGUUUCUCCAACACACAGAAAUAUUAUAUCAAAAAAGACUAUGAGCCUAAUUCUCCCGCAUGCCCAAGCGUUCAGCGCCAAACCAAAAACCAAAUCUAAACCAGGGUUGGUUUCCAGCGACAAAAAAGAAAGAAAAUACUAGAAAAUAAAAAAAACCUAAACCUUAUCUCCUCAGCCCCACACGGACGCACACCACGUCCAACUCCAACACAUGGACAGAACCAGUCCGCAUGCCGCAUGCCGCAACCUCCGCCUCCGCUACGCUCUGGGCACGCCGCCUCGCUCCGCCUCCACCACCAGCCCGCCCACCCUCACCCUCUCUGCUCCCUUCACCGCUCCCUCCACUUCAUCGCACGCUAGUACUCAUGGAGACAGCUCUUGAGGCCGUGGUUCCCUUCCCUAGCCUUGUCCCCCUGUCAUCCUCUAGAUCUAGCUCGAGGAGCACGUGAAGGAAGCCAUGCCGGUGGCGAAUCUGUGGAAAUUCGAUGACAGGUGGUUUCUUUCCUCCUAUUUUUCAUUCAUGUACUGGAUCGCAGGUCGAAUUUGAUUUCUUCCCCUUCCUACAGUUCCGAUAGAUUACAAUCUGCUUCUCUUGGAUCUAGGGUUGGUUUAUUUGGGAGGGCAAAUCACUUACCCUAGAGCUGCUCGAGAAAGAGAAGAUUACUGGAUAGUGCACAUGGAAGAUCGAUAGGGCUACAGCUAAAGGGGAAGUCGAUUCGGUCUUCAUGCGACUUCUGAGUCUUUCU
rnacentral:lncRNA from 1 species